rnacentral:rRNA from 1 species
AGCAGCCGCCGCGGGAAUACGUAGGUCCCGAGCGUUGUCCGGAUUUAUUGGGCGUAAAGGGAGCGCAGGCGGUUUAGUAAGUCUGAAGUUAAAGGCAUUGGCUCAACCAAUGUAUGCUUUGGAAACUGUUAGACUUGAGUGCAGAAGGGGAGAGUGGAAUUCCAUGUGUAGCGGUGAAAUGCGUAGAGAUGUGGAGGAACACCAGUGGCGAAGGCGACCCUCUGGUCUGUAACUGACGCUGAGGAGCGAAAGCGUGGGGAGCGAACAGGAUUAGAUACCCCGGUAGUCCCUGUCUCUUAUACA